GGAAUACGAUAUGUAGCGGUGAAAUGCAUAGAUAUAUCGUAGAACACCGAUUGCGAAGGCAGCUUACUAAGCCAAUAUUGACGCUGAUGGACGAAAGCGUGGGGAGCGAACAGGAUUAGAUACCCUGGUAGUCCACGCCGUAAACGAUGAUUACUCGUUGUGCGCGAUACACAGUGCGCGACUGAGCGAAAGCAUUAAGUAAUCCACCUGGGGAGUACGUUGGCAACAAUGAAACUCAAAGGAAUUGACGGGGGCCCGCACAAGCGGAGGAACAUGUGGUUUAAUUCGAUGAUACGCGAGGAACCUUACCUGGGCUUAAAUGCAGUUUGACCGAUCUGGAAACGGAUCUUCUCUUCGGAGCAAAUUACAAGGUGCUGCAUGGUUGUCGUCAGCUCGUGCCGUGAGGUGUCGGGUUAAGUCCCAUAACGAGCGCAACCCCUAUCGUUAGUUGCUAGCAGGUAAUGCUGAGGACUCUAGCGAGACUGCCACCGUAAGGUGAGAGGAAGGUGGGGAUGACGUCAAAUCAGCACGGCCCUUACGUCCAGGGCUACACACGUGUUACAAUGGCCGAUACAAAGGGCAGCUACCUGGUGACAGGAUGCUAAUCUCAAAAGUCGGUCUCAGUUCGGAUCGGAGUCUGCAACACGACUCCGUGAAGUUGGAUUCGCUAGUAAUCGUAUAUCAGCAAUGAUACGGUGAAUACGUUCCCGGGCCUUGUACACACCGCCC
rnacentral:rRNA from 1 species